AUCAUUGUCUCCCUGCCAAUUGAUUAAAAUGAUUGAUCUGACAUUGACUGCAUUGAACAGAGAUGUGGCCUGCCAGCUGCCUUUGGAGAGUAGCCAAAUCUGCUGGGACCCAGCCACUUCAGGCACAGAUGUGCUUGCCUUUCCUGAAUGGAUGUCUUCCAGAAACGUUGGCUGUGAUGUCUGGUUUUUGUAUCUAUUGCUACUUCCCACGAAGACACAUAUACAAAAGACUCCUGGCUGCCUUUUAAAUGAAAACGUGCAGCAUAUUAGGAUCAAUCAUUUGUCUAAUGUUGUCUAGGAUCCAAUAUGAAGGAACAGCUCCUCUCACGAACACUGUUGGUCUCCUGGAUGGAGAAAGGAAUGUGGUGAACCGUGAGCUGACUCUCAGGGCCUUUGUUCAGAACGUUUUACUUCUGUUCAUAUGUCAUAGGACAAAGCAAAUUAUAUGACUGAGCUGGAUGCAAAUGGGGAGGGGAAGAGGACUCUUCCCACAGGGAGGGGCGUAAGUCACACAGCUAAGGCUGAU